CCAACUGAAUCUGUUUCAUUUGAGCGAAGAAACUCUGCUUCUCUAAUGGACUUGGACGAAGGUGGUAUGCAAGACCACGACUGGCAUGGUCUUGCCGUACCAAUGGAUAACCUCUCAGAUGUCCAUUUUGAUUUCUGGUUUUAAAACUCCAACUAGCAAAUUGUCUAGUUUAAGGUUAGACGCUUGAUAUUUGUUUACAUUUACAGCAUGACCUGCUCCAUUACAUGUUGGAAGAGCAUGAGGUCAUAUUUGUUUUCAAGUCUCGGUACUAGUAUUUCCGGAUAUGUUCAUUUUGGACGAUGUUAAUGUGUUCCAAUUUUCUAUAAUUUUGCCAGAACUAUGAUUUCUUUAAUCUUUUGGUAGGCUUAAAUGAUGCAAUGUUAUAAUUGUUGGAUGCUGUUCAUUCUCGCGCACAAGUGAUCUGUGUGUCUACGUGAUGCUGUCCAGACAUGAAUUCGAUUCUCAACGCAACUUUGCUUACUCAGGUUCUAUUUCACACUACUUUACUAUGAACAAUAUCUUUGUUUGUUUAUGAUUUUCACCAUUUGAGCUAUUAUUUUGUAAUAUAACACCUUUGAUCGUAGUAAUAUCGUGAGUAAUUGAGUUAUAGGUUAGUUUAUUGCUAAAUCGGGACUUGAUUCUUGCUGGAAGUGUUUAAUUAUGAGUGCAUCAUGUUUUGAUACAAAGUCUUUUUACAUUUCUUAUGAUGUUUUGAGCUAUUAUUUUGUAUUAUUCAGCUUUGAUUGUAGUAAUUGAGUUCUUGGUGUAUUGGGUUCUUACUAAAUUCUUGCUUCAAGUGUUGCAUACGAUCUUCAUGAAGUCCAAUAGAGAAGCGGAGUCUCUCCGCUCAAAUGAGAUGGAUUGAGUUGGUUGUUUUGUUCUUUUUUAGAUUCCAUGUUAGUAUUAUGUAUGUAGCGAUGAUUAAUAUUUAUAAAAUACAGCUCUAUCAUGAUCCAGAAGAUUCCAGUCUCAUAUUUUACGAGUUUCUCAUGAAAGUGAUAUCAUACAUAGCUUGAAAGUUUGAUGUAUUUAUUUUAAAAUUGCUUUAUCAUAUUAUUAUUAAUUUUAGGAUUCAUGUGCAGGUGGAAAUCUUGCAGUAAACAAUAAAGAAAAUGCUCCACAAAUAUCUAAAAUCGAAGAAGCCAAUGACUCAUUGGCGGCCUCAGGUAAAAAUGUAUUCACAUUACAUAGCAUGUUUAAUUCGUAUGAAAUAAUAAUGGUUCAAAUGUUAUGAGUGAUAUUUUGAAGGCUCAAGAUUCUCUCUGUUCUACAUUCAAUGUAGUAGCUGAGCAAGCUGCUCUAACAAUGUAGUUCUAUUCAUUUUCUUAAAUAUUUACAAAUAUACAGGCACAGAAGAAGAAACAAUACAUUGCAAACAUUUAUGAAUCUAUUCAACAUGGAAAGGAUGCGGAGAAAAGGUAUCGUUGCGUUCAACCUUAGUUUGAUGAUGCUCUUAUGGCCUCUUUUACAGAUAAGACAAUUAGGUUUGACUGCAGGAAUCUGGAGCAGGCCGCUAUGAGUAAAUUGAUUGAAAUGGCCUACAAAAGACAAAGGGUAAUAGUAUCUUUUUCAUCUGUUUAUUAAUUUUCUUUUCAUUAUUGCUAUCAGUGACCAAGUUAUAUUGAAUUUUAGGAAUCUUGGCACUAUAUACCAAGAAGCAAAUCAUGCAUCUUUCUAUUUAAACUGUACAUUCUAUGGUUAAUAGAAAUUUAAGUAAUUGCUAUGGAUGCAUACACUACACUUGCACUAAUAAUAUAUGAAAAAGAUGUGCAAGCAUUAGAUGGUCUCUGGCUCUCUCUGCCCAUGUGCAGGAGGGUCAUAGUCAUGUUAUACUGUUUGACUCUUAGAAGUUGAUAGAGAAAAGCUCAGAAGGUAGAAAGAAAUGGAACAAUAUAUACACCUCAUUGUACUUGCUAAAACUAUGUUCUUGAGUUGAUAAAUUUGGAUGGUGAAAGUCCUGAGAGUUACGGCCUUUGACUUUAUAUCGAAGUCGUGCUUAAUAUUUUCUUUCAAUUUCUGCCUCUUUUUUUAAAUGGCAACGACCUGCUAUAUCAUAGUUGGAUGCAGUGAAACCCUAUAAGCGAGAUCUAAAAAUCAGUUUCCUGCUGCUAUUUAUCAUGAUAGAGUCAGAAGUAUGAAAUUUUUGUAGACACUAAUGAUUUUCCAUGAGCNGUGCUUAAUAUUUUCUUUCAAUUUCUGCCUCUUUUUUUAAAUGGCAACGACCUGCUAUAUCAUAGUUGGAUGCAGUGAAACCCUAUAAGCGAGAUCUAAAAAUCAGUUUCCUGCUGCUAUUUAUCAUGAUAGAGUCAGAAGUAUGAAAUUUUUGUAGACACUAAUGAUUUUCCAUGAGCCAGUCUAUAUCCUGAGAGCUUAAAAUAUUAUGCAUAUGUCCUAACAUGUUGUGGUAGAUUGUGUUUUGACUGUCACUCAUAUUUCAUGGGUUUUCUUGUUACACUUGAUUAACAGAGUCAAUUAUACUAUUAGUAACUAUCAAAUCAAUUUUUUACCCUAAUAAGAAAUAUGCAUCACCCCUUGAACUUUUAGAACAUUUGGACUUAUUAAACGGUUACCUAGUUUCUACUUCAUAGCAUAUGGAUAAUAUAUAUCGUUGUUACUUAGUUUUGUUACGUUUUGCUGAAUUCAUAUAUGCUUUAAGGUGGAAAUUACCCCGACUAAUGUCAGUUUUUGGACUGUCAUGAUCAUCGGUAGUCAUUAGGUGCUGAACAAAAGAGUCCAAGAACAAAAGCAACCAAAAAUGAAAUGCUCAUAUAUAAGAUUCUCAUUUUUGGUCCAAAUUUGAGGUUUAAUGGUUAUCACUUAAUGCAGCUUUCUUAUGUUGAUGUGUACCUCAAUAUGUAAUAUUUACAGUAACAUUGUACAGUGAUUAAUUUUGAUACAAUUUUGUGUGAAUGGGAGAAAUCUUUACUCUGGAUGGGAAUAAAUAAUAUUAACUUUCGCUUUAAAUCUAUGAUUUCGAAGUCGUGCUGCCCUCCCCCUUCCUCACCUCUCUCUCUUCUCUAAUCUUAGGUUUCUUAUGGGAGUCAUUUCUCGAAGAGAGUCCUCCGCAGGGUCAAUAAACAAGCUGCUUUGCCUUUUGCUGAACGUACUUUUGCCAGAUGCCUAGAGUUUGAAGAUACUGGGAGGAACUGCUUUAGAAAAGCUGCUUCUAGUUCAUCAGUUGCUAUUGGGAGCGAUGUUGCAAGGGGAAAUGAGGAGCCGCACAAUGUAGGAAAGAAUCGUGUGAACCCUUCAACAAAACAACCAACUGCAUCUGUUCCAUAUGAGCGCAGAGACUCGGCUUCUUUAAUGGACUUGGACGAAGGUGGUAUGCAAGACCACGACUGGCAAGGUCUCGCCAUACCAAUGGAUAACCUCUCAGAUGUCCAUUUUGAUUACUGGUUUUAAAACACCAAAUAGCAAGCUGUUUAGUUUAAGGUUAGACGCUUGAUAUUUGUUUACAUUUACAGCGUGACCUGCUCCAUUACAUGUUGGAAGAGCAUGAGGUCAUAUUUGUUUUCAAGUCUCGGUACUAGUAUUUCCGGA
rnacentral:lncRNA from 1 species